rnacentral:rRNA from 1 species
CCUCUUGGAAGAGAGCGCCNGCNAGGGUGAGAGUCCCGUUCGUCAAUUUGCAGUCCUCCGUACACGGCUUGCACUUGUUGAGUCACGUUCCUCGGGAUUGGAGCGCAAAGUGGGUGGUAAAUUUCAUCUAAAGCUCAAUAUAUGUUUGAGACCGAUAGCACACAAGUACCAUGAGGGAAAGAUGAAAAGGACUUUGAAAAGAGAGUUAAAAGUGCCUGAAAUUGCUGCAAGGGAAGCGGAUGGAACCAGUCCGCGCGGUGAGAUUGUUGGGCGGAGCUGUGCGGAUUUGCACCUUCAACGAAAGUGAGGGUGCAAGUUUCAACCAUCCCUCGCCCGAUGGUUCUUGCCGUGGGGGUCAUUGGUGAUUAGCGUCCGAGGAUAACUGCAAAGGCAUGGUAGCCUGUCUCCGGAUGGGUGAACGCGUUUGUUAGCACUCGGCUGCUGAUCAUUUGGAGGUGUUCGGAAACCGUCGAGUAAACUUGCUUUCUCCGUGUGGGAUCGCAACGUUUGUUCGCGGGCCCUGACACACGUCUACGACCAAAUGGUUCUUUCCGACCCGUCUUGAAACACG